GCUCCUGCUGCAUCUGUUGGCG
rnacentral:miRNA from 1 species